rnacentral:rRNA from 1 species
UACGUAGGGGGCUAGCGUUGUCCGGAAUCAUUGGGCGUAAAGAGCGCGUAGGCGGCCAGAUAAGUCCGGUGUGAAAGUCACAGGCUCAACCUGUGAAUGCCGCUGGAAACUGGCUGGCUAGAGUCCAGAAGGGGCGAGUGGAAUUCCUGGUGUAGCGGUGAAAUGCGCAGAUAUCAGGAGGAACACCAAUGGCGAAGGCAGCUCGCUGGGACGGUACUGACGCUGAGGCGCGAAAGCGUGGGGAGCGAACAGG